AACAAAGAGGAAAACCGAGGCUCAGGGAGUUUGUUUAACUGGAGUCCAGACUUCCUGAUUCUUUUGACUUUGCAUGCCGCCUCUCUGAAAUAUGCUAAUACAGUCCUAACCCAGGUUCUAAAUUAGGAAGAAUACUUUUUUUAAAGUUGAAUUUUUAUCGAUGUGAAUCAUCCUGUUUUCUUCACCCACUGGACUUUGUGUCUUCUUUCAUAGACGAAAAAGUAAUACGUGUACACGGUAACAAUAAAAAAAUUUAAAUAGCGUGAAAAGGUUUAGGGGAACGAGUAAGUUUCCACACCCCUCCCCCUCGAAUCUUCUGGUCCUUUUCCCAGAAGUAAAUUCAUUAGCAAGUUUCUUGUGUUUCCUUCUAGAAAUGUUCUCUGCACAUACAAGCAUUAAGUUGUGUCCCGUUUUCUUCCUGCACAAAUGAGAGGAUUCUAGAAACGGAACUGCGCUCAUUAACAAUACAGUAGAUUUUUCUGUACCAGGACAUGCUGCCGACCUCAUUCUUUUCAACAGCUCCUUAGCGUUGCAUCGCCUGACAGACCGUAAUUUAUUUAACCUAUCUUUUGCUGAUGAUCAUGCUGUUGCUUUUAACCACAAGGCUUCACUGAACAUCCCUGUACAUGUAUCUCUGUGCACACUCAUAAGCAUGUUUGGAGGAUAAAUUACUAGGAGCAGAACUGGU
rnacentral:lncRNA from 1 species